rnacentral:lncRNA from 1 species
CUGGAGAAGAAGAAAAAAGUUCGAAGAAGACUGGUCUUCGCCGUCGUCACGGAUAUUGAGCUCGUCAUCGUCGCCAUCUAUACUCGCCGACGUCAUCAUCGUUGACGUCUCUCAGAUCCAUCUUCGUCUUCACCGUAGUCACCACCACCACCGCUUGUCACCACACUGGUCACCUCUCUCUCUCUUUCAAUCUCUCUCGCUCUUUUUCUAUGUUUUGAAUUUGUUCUUGUUACUGGAAGGUAGACAAUGCAGAGGAGCUUGGUGGUGGAGGAGGUAACAAAACCGCUGUGUGACUUGAAGACGUCGGAGCUCUCGUGGUAACGAGAUUGCGGUGGCGAAGGAAGAAGACAAUAAUGACCUUGCGGCCACGUGAUGUGGAAGAAACACACGGUGAUUUAGUUAGAUUUAGAUUUUGUUGACGACGGCUGCUAGCUUUUAUGUUUCUAGGUUUUAGAUUAGGGUUGGUUUAGAAUUAAACUCAGCCGUAACGAAUGCAUAACUCAACAAGUAUGCAUAAUUCAACUGUAAUGUAUCUGAAUGGUAUAAGUCAACCGUAACGUUCCUAUAAGUCAGCCCUAUAAGUCAG